AGUUCUGGGAAAGUGCUGGUUAUAAAGGGGGGGUAAAUACUCUUUAUAGGGUAAAAAAUAUCCCCCAGAGCCCCAGAGCGCACGAGGAGAGUGCUGGAAAGGUGAAAAGUUUUUUGAAGAGAGGGUUUACACAGUGUGAGAAAUUGUUGAGGGGAAAGCGCCCGAGUAUAGUCUUGUCCUUGACCGCUCGUUUAGGGGGCAGCAUUCCGUAAACCCUCCCGGUCAUGGUUUGCAGCCCAGCAUCGGUUUGUGUUGGGGGAUAAGAGUAGUGGGAACGUAGCUUCUCUUCGGGCGAGUGUUAUAGCCCUUUCCCCGUUACCCUGCCCCAGAUCGAGGAACGCGUCUUCGCACACGGAUGUUGGCGUAAUGGUUGUUGGCCCCCCGUCUUGAAACCCGGCCCAAGGAGUGGAGGUUUUCCGGGAGUGUGUGGGUGGUAGCCCCGCCCCCGACAUGAAAGUGAACCCAGGUCAGGACCUUUCUUGGGUGCUCCAUCGCCCGAUCCAAUGUUUUCGGAUGGAUUUGAGUAAGAGCAUGGCUGUUGGGACCCGAAAGAUGGUGAACUAUGCCUGAAUAGGGUGAAGCCAGAGGAAACUCUGGUGGAGGUUCGCAGCGGUUCUGACGUGCAAAUCGAUCGUCAAAUGUGGGCAUGGGGGCGAAAGACUAAUCCGAUCCCUCCUGACUGGGGC
rnacentral:rRNA from 1 species